GAUGAACGCUGGCGGCGUGCCUAAUACAUGCAAGUCGAGCGAACCACUUCGGUGGGAAGCGGCGAACGGGUGAGUAACACGUAGGUGAUCUACCCAUCAGACGGGGACAACGGUUGGAAACGAUCGCUAAUACCGGAUAGGACGAAAGUUUAAAGAUGCUCCUGGCAUCACUGAUGGAUGAGCCUGCGGCGCAUUAGCUAGUUGGUGGGGUAAAGGCCUACCAAGGCGACGAUGCGUAGCCGACCUGAGAGGGUGAACGGCCACACUGGGACUGAGACACGGCCCAA
rnacentral:rRNA from 1 species